UUUCCCUGUUUUCCGCAUGAAGUUAUGCAUUGUUUCCUUCGCGUGAUCAAAGCAGCUGUAGGACCCACCACCGAACGAACGUGAAGUUUUGGAUGGAUUGGCGAGAUCGAGGCGUCCCUUCCAGGCUGAGACACGUAUUCUCUCCUGAUUCCUUUCCCAUUUUCCCCACGACUCCAUCGAGGUAGGCCACCACUCCACGAGCAGACUAGCCCCUCCAUUGAACCCUCAAUCUCCACCUCCGCCGGCCUUCAUCGGAAGCUUAUUGCUGACCAAAGUCCUUCCUAAUGGCGGCCUCAACAGCGGCCGUUGGUGCGCAACGUACACCACGGGGAACUCUGGCCCCGCGCAGUACUGUGCGCUGGAACUGCCAGCGCCCAAAACUGCGCCGCUGCACAACGAUGGCCGUGGGUGACGAAGAGGACCGCGAUGGGCUGAUGGGCAGCGCAGCUGGGAGCUCACAGAUGGAGCGGCCACCUCCUGUUAAUUCCACCGUUGGAGACCGGCUGCAGCGCCUUCUUAUCUCUUCUCUUACUCCCUCACCCUCUAGGGAUUUGGAGCCUAUUUCGAUUUUGACUCUUCUCCAGCAGUACGCACUGGCGGAGCUUGGCGCCGUUCUCCGCCGCAUGGCGGCCUGUACGUGUUUCGAUGGGCUACCCGCCGACUCUCCGCUUGCAGCCGCCAUGGAAGCGCCGCCCUCCAACCUUUUCAUCCACGGGAGGAGGAGAUUGGGGCGGUGAUGCGCUUUAGUUCUUCUGUUCUGUUCGGUUGUAGUACAUGCAGAUGCAGGUGUGCCCUUCUCCACUUGACGUAGUUGAGUUGUUAUGGUAAAUCGCUUUGCAUCCCAUUCUCUAUAUCUUCAUGUUCAUAUUUGGUCAUACUUCCUGAUUGUAUCCUCUCUUUUUAAUCCCAGUAUCUCCCUUGGAUACUCAACUCCUAUAGUUUAAGAAAAAGAAACAUCCAUUAAAUAGUGAUAUCCUUGAGCAAUUAGUUUAUGUAUUAGAUCUGAUAAAAAAAUGAUACGAUAGCAGAUGGGCUUACAAUCUGGGACCUAUGGAUUAUUAAAUCGCUGCGAGUUCAGAUAUUUGGUCUUCAGAUAUACAUAGGAGCAUGUUUUACUGUGUCUUCAAAUUUGAUUGUUCUUCCUGGAUUGCACAACUCUUGCUACAUAAAUUGUGUAAAUAUGUUGAUUUCUUUCCUGCAGUCUUGAUUAAUUUUUACCCACGUGGUUUCUCCUUGCAGCAUCAAGUGAGCCUGGUACAUCAAGUAUUAGCAUGUGAGUAUGUUCGUUUCUUUCCUGCGGUGUUAUUAACUUUUACCUACCGCUGGUUAUUUAAGCAGGGUAGGGUAAGAUCUUUCUAUCUCUGUUCUACUUUUGGAUCGAGAAGACAAAGAUGGCAUUGGUAGCACAACGGCAUGCACAUCAAAGUGAAUAUUAUUGUGUCAUUUUUUCCAUGUACAAAUUAGUACUUGCCAAUUUUUCUUGAGCAAUAAGAAUCUUUCUUGCGGUAUAUGUCUCAAGUUCUUAAAUGACAUUUUCUAGGCUGCUGAUGAUUCGGAUGACUCUGUUGGUCGCUCCUCUUUGGUCAGUUCUCUGACUAUUGUUCUGGUUGUUUCUUCCCUUCAUUGUGCUUUGGCUAAUCUUGAUGCUUGGAGGCGAGAGAUUCGUCCGGUGUUCUGCUGAAAACAAAAGACAAGAAAAAUUCAACUGGAGCAGGUAACAAAAUUGGUUCCUCAAUUGCAAGAGCAAGAUUACGGUGGAUCUUUUCUUCCUUCAAGGUGUGCCUCUUUAUUUUAAUAAGGUCAUUGAGUAAAGUUGCUGCCUUCAAUUCAGAAGGUAUAUAAAUAGAAGAUGGAAGUACCCCAACGCACCGGCGGCAGUGCUCCACUGCUGCCAGGACAUGUGGGUUUGGUUUGGGCAAACACGCACUGGGCUCUUCCAUCUAGGAGGAAACAAGGUAAUAUCAUCUGCUUGCCCGAGCUGCCGCUGUUAAUUGCACCCAUGUUGUUCUUUUGGUUUGCAACAUCAGAUUCAAAGGAUACUAAAAUCCAGUAGCAAGAUGAAGUCAGGUGUGUUUAAUGUUCCUUAUUUAUUUAGUUUACAUCUGACAGCUGCGUUUUAUUUGUAGGCUUCUACAAAAGUAACAAUAAAGAAAGAAAACUGUAUCUUUUUUGUUGCACAAAUUGGUUCGACCAACUUCUCUUACUGCUAAUCCAAGCAUGUAAAGUUUUGUUUUCAGUUAUACUCUACCAGGUAGUUUCCGUUUGUUUGAUAAAUGUACAGUUCUGAAUAUGGCAUAGGUACUUAUGUAUCUCUAAAAUAAGCUUAAAAGCUCACCCAUGUUCUUUUUUGUCUAAUUUUUUUUAUCAGAGUUUUCUUUGGUGACGUUCCAGGUUCUGGGAGCUGCAUACAGAAACAAGUAGGAAUGAAAUUUUCUUUUAGUACUAACCAAACAUGUAGACCUUUUUUCCAGUUACUUUACCAUGUAGAUUCCGUUAGUUUGAUUAUUGUAAAUGUACUUUUCUGGAUAUGGCAUAAAAAGUUCAUCUCGAAAAAUAAGCUUGAAGGCCACCCUGUUCUUUUUGGUCUAAUUUUUACUCAGUUGUUUUCUCAAGUGCAGCGAUUUUCUUCCUUAGGGACAGAACGCUCCAGAUUUUGGUAACAACACGCCUACUCGCACGAUUAGAGUGCAAUGCAAAUUGACUAUAAUUGAAUUCUGUUCUUGCAACACACGAUUUGCUUAAAAAGUGCUAUCAUUUAUCCAAAUCUACCAUCAGUUCUCCCCAUAGAAUCGUAGUUACCUUGAGGAGGAGCGGCAUGAAUGGCUGACAAAGAAGUGCAGACAGGCCACCGUCAAGCUAGCUCCCGCGUGAGCUAUCAUUUCCCAUUAACAUCGCCUGCUGCACUGCCCUCGAUUCCUCUUCUUUCCCCAACGCCUUUCUUUUGCCUGCCCGCUUCCCGUUGCCCUUCUUGCAUAUGUUGCAUCGAAUCGACCACUUCUGGCGAACUUGGCUGUUGCUCCCCGCGCCGUGUUGGCGACUUCCGCCCAACCUUUCCUCCUAUGUUUCCUCAUCGUCUUGGCUCGCUGGCUGGGUCUAGCACCUGGACUGUUUGAAGAACCGCCGGUUUAGAUUUUGCGAGUCUGCCUAUUUCUCGGUGGCACGGCGACGACCUGAACCAAGCCUCACCUUUCUUCUCUUUUGCUCUGGUGGUUCGUGGCCAGCUCUAUCGCCUCGACCUGAUCGAUAAGAGGGGAAGCACUGCCAAUUUGGAAGGUAGCGAAUAGCAAACCCACAAAGGAUAGGUGGAGGAAAAAGGGACGAGUACAACGCAAUGUGAAACACACCAUGUGUCCACUUAGUCUUUAUUUUGCUAACAACAAAUCAAGCUAAUUUUCAAAAAUUACCGGCACGGGCGCGGCGUGUCGCCGCGCCUACCUUCCUAGUUACAUAUAUUAAAGCUGACCCUUUUUGCUGAAAUCUUAGGCAUUUGGGCAUUUAGAUACUGUUGACGGUAGUAUUUCAUCCAAUCAAAUCUUAACACGAGGGCAGUCCCGCCGAGUUACCGGUUGCCUACGGUCUAUGUGACUAACCUGGACGGUUCUACUAGAUCAAAGGCGGUCAAAGCGGUGUGACCUAUGUAUUAGUCCAGACUGCUGGCCCUAUUCUCCUUCUUCCUCCCUAAUCCCAUUGUUCAGGUUAAAUAAAAAAUCCCCACCGCUGCGGCCCGUGUCCUUCUCUGAGGUGGGCGCCCUCAUUGCCCGGCCGCCUUGCGGCCCGCCCGCGCUCGACCUCCUCGGUGGCUGGUUCAUGGCGUGGCGUGGCUGCAGCUCCCCACGGCCUCGCCGGCUGGCCCGCCAUCUUCGUGUUCCACGGCUGUCAGCUCCGACGCCUGUUCGUGAUCUAGGAGCGUGCCGGUCCGCCGGUCCGCCGUCCGACCGCUCGACGGCCAGCAGUGUCGUCGUCUGGGAUAACAUCGUUGCGUCGACGCCUCCCAUUUGCCACCCAGACGAGGACCACGACUCCCACGCCAUCAUUGGUACGACCUUGGUUUGUGCUAUGCCUGGCCGUGUCGCCGGGAGUCCGUGCCAACUGGGAGGAGUGCUCCUGCGAGAAGAUGGUGAGAGACUCGCCGAGCGGGGCCAACCUAUUGCUGGUUUCCAUUGAUUACAUACUCGGAUCGCAAGCGUGCUCUACUGUAUAGUUUCUCUAAAAAUAGCUACUUAAUUAUGCUAUGCAUCAAAGAAGAGGGGUUGGUACUGGCUUGCUAUCCAGUCAGCUCAUACGGAAGACACCAAUUCGUGUGAGCAGCGGUGGCUGAAGGUAGGAGAUUACUACCAUGCUAGCGAUCCAGCUUCAUGUACGGCUCGCAUCUCGGUGAGUCUAGGGUCUUCCCUUCUCCACCAGUCAAGUCAGCAUCUUAUUUUUCUGUUCUGUCUACCUAUGUUCUGGUGCCUGCCAUAUGCUACAGUGACCACCUUGAAAGUGGUUUGAGAAAAAUAUGCAGUGACCUCUUACAACUGCAUUUGUGGAUUAGCAUUUGCAAAAGU